AUGGGGAGCAAUUUUCAAGAUAAAAGUCGACUGACAAACAAAUUUACACUCGACUUCUUACAACAUAUUACAAAUAACUUUUCUGAGGACCGCAUACUUGGCCGUGGUGGGGGUGGAGUAGUUUACAAGGGAGUGUUGGAAAAUGGGGAAGAGAUUGCUCUGAAGAAGCUUAAUCAGAUUGGGCUUGACGACAAGGAAUUUACAAAUGAGUUCAAUAACAUUAUUAGGGUCCAUCAUCAAAAUAUUGUACAGUUUGUUGGCUACUGCUAUCAUGAAGAACGUAGAUGUACCGAGUACAAUGGACAAUAUGUCUUUGCUCUUGAGGCUGAAGGAAUCCUAUGCUUUGAAUAUUUGCACGGUGGUGACCUUGAGAGGCACCUUUCUGAAGAGCAGCCAUGCAGACUUGAUUGGCACACAUGUUACAAAAUAAUUAAGGGAGUGUGUGCAGGUUUAAAUUAUCUUCAUAGUGGAAAUAUUUACCAUCUAGAUUUGAAGCCUGCAAACAUAUUGCUGGACAAUAACAUGAUGCCGAAAAUAGGAGAUUUUGGUAUAUCAAGAAUCUUUCCUUCAACAAAAACCAUUACCCCCACAACAAGAACAUUGAUAGGGACAGUGGGAUUCAUGCCACCGGAAUAUAUUGACAAACAAGAAAUCUCACCAAAAUUUGAUGUGUUCAGUGUGGGUGUUAUAAUUGUACAAAUGAUGGCAGGACGCAAGAACUACUUUGAUUGUGGAAGUGUUCCUUCUGAAAUUUUCAAUGAGCUUGUAUGUGAAAUAUGGCGAGAAAAACUAGGUCCAACAAUGUUGUCACACACAUGGAAAGAAGUUAAGACAUGCAUCGGAAUUGCAUUAAGAUGUCUGGAGGAUGACCGAAAUAAAAGGCCAACUAUAAGAGAGAUCGUCGAUGAGCUUAACAGGAUUGAUAUUGAAAAUUUAACACUUGCAGAUGAGACCGUUGAUAAACUUGAUAGGAUUGAUAUUGAGAUUUUUUCACUUACGCACGAGGUUACCAACUUACAAAACAGGGUGGCAUUGGCCUAUAACCAUUACAAGAACGCAGCUUCGAUCGGGGUACAUGAGAGCAACAGCCGGUUUAUGUCCCCACCUGACCCGAUGGAUUAUGAACAAGAGUCCAUCAUGAGGAACCCCGAGAUCCGUGCUAUUGGAGGGUGUGAAGGUGUGACUAGAGCCGAUGAUGGCAAUCGCUCGCGGGACCUAAAUAUCAGGUGGUGCAGAGUUUUUGACAACUCUAUCUUUGAUGAAGUUCUUCUUGUCUUUCCUGAACUUAUGGCGAGGAUCCAGGAACUGUCUAUGCAAGUCGAAGCAAGAAAACUUGUGACCGGCCUAAAGCCAACGAAACUCAAGAGCUCCCUUGCAUGUGGGGCACGGGAACCUUCCAUGCACACACCAGCCAACGAAUAG
rnacentral:rRNA from 1 species